rnacentral:snoRNA from 1 species
ACCCUCCAGAUUCCUUACCACUCAUACCUAAAUAUUGGUCUCAGUGGCGAAGAAAGGAGAAAAAGUAAAACUGAAGUGGAUUUGUGGCUUUAGUGACAUGAAAAUUCAUUUAAAACAUAC